rnacentral:lncRNA from 1 species
UGGAGACCUCUUUUUUUUUUCGCGCUGCAGUGCACAACCAUAAGUUCCUAACCUGGAAGAGUGACUCAGAGAUACCAGACGUUCAGGGAACAGCUACCACAAACUCAAGAGAGAAGAAGGUUGCUCCGCUGGAAGCUGCAAAUAAAUUCUGCUGUUCAACAAAAUACCCUAGAGUAGGUUCCUAUUCAUAAAACUACCUAUACCAGAUGGAAAAAAUAGAAACCAAAAAGCACCAACAUAAAGUCAUUACAAGUAAAAUUUCCCCUUCCCCUUAUCUUGCUCUCACUUUGCCUUCCCCACACCUGCUCUCUACUCUGCAAUCACAAAUCAGGGCCUCACGAAUUCAUCAAGGCAUAUCAGGAGUGUAACACAAGGAUGAAGAGAACAUAUAGAGUUAAUUUGUGACUUCACCGCACCUGAAAUGUUAAUUUGUCAGCCCUCACAAUGCAAAAAGUAAAUGCCCCAUAAAGAUAAUAUAUAGAUGGACUAAGAGAUGAAGUGUGGCCAGGAAAACUCAAAUCGAGUUGCAGCUGAUUGAUUCACUGCACCUUCUAAAUUGCACAAUAUGUUUCUGAAGCAGUUGCAUCAGU